GCGCAGCAUAUCAUGCGCAAAAACAAUAAUAUCAGAGGUUCCGACUAAAGCGACCCUUCUGUACAUUUCAUAUUCAGUGCUUAAAUGAGAUGUCACAGUAAACACACCAUUGCAAAUGAUCAGAGCUCAACGCAAAACGUAAAAAAAAAAAGGGAAUUUUACGACUUUAUUCUGUUUCAUCUUUGUUUCAGUUGCAGCUGACAAGUAAGAGGAAAGCUUUGACCAUGAAAGUCUUCCACGUUGGGUUGUAUCUAAUGAUUUUUCUUGCAAUUGUCAACAUGGAACGAAACAAGCGCUUAAAGAGAAGAACGACAAAUUCAUUAUUGGAAAAGACAAAAAAAGAGAAUUUAAAUGGUAAAUUGUGUGGGGUUAUACAUGGAGAUAUGAUCUUUUGUAAAGGCUCACAAAAAUGCUGUCCUGUACGCAAAGCUGGCGCUCUUGUAAAUUAUUAUUGUUGUCCUUGGCUAAAUGGAAAAUGUUGCAGUAGCGGAAGUUGCUGUCCCCAGGAUUUUGGUUGUCUAAUUUUCCAUAUUUGUUCACUGAUUUCUGUAUAACAGGACGGGGUAUAUGUUGGGCUUUGGGUAUAUGAAAUUUAAUUGCCAUUUAAUUUUAUACAAUUAAGUCAAUAAAAAUAGCUUUCUAAAUAGUA